rnacentral:lncRNA from 1 species
GCAGUUCGGAAGGACCCGAGUCCCUUAACUAACCGAGAGCUAACAGGUCGGGGACUGCGGGACGGAAGAGGGAGGGGAAGAUGAAGAAAAUCGGUGAUGAAUGGCUGGCGGAAAUGAUUGGCGGAAAGAAAGAGCCAGUUCACAGUGCGCCUUUGUAUUCGGCGGGAAACCCGGCCGAAGAGGGAGCUGGAAAGGACUCCGGAAUCCGGCCAGUACGAGUACAUCUGGUUGAAAGAGAAAAGGCAGAGAGAAAAGCAGACUUUUUGGAGUUGUUGUUCUCAGGCACUAACAGAUUCAUCCCUUAUAUGCAUAUGAAUGGACAAUAAGAUUUCUUGGAUAUUUUCAUGGCAAAGGACCAAAAAAUGAGCAGAAAAUUUGGGAUAAAUGUCAACAAGAUUUGAACCCUAAAGAAAAGCAAGCAUCGAGUUAGACAGACGUCCAUAUUCAUUCAACUGGGAAAAUAAAACUGCAGUCCCAACAUCAGAAUUUCCUUGGUCAGUUGGUUAUUGCGGGACAGCAUUCUUCUGCAUGACAGUAUUGUCUCCUUACCAGCCACAGAGGAGGCUGUGAGAGAGAGGAUUUGGGAAAUUGGUGCAAAUGAGAAAUCUUGGAAAUCUAGAACUAAAGCCUUUCAGCAGGAAAUCCAGAUGCUCACUAAGUGACUAGAGCAGCUGCAUCAUCUUUAAGAAGAAGGUGCUCAAGAAUCAUCCCAAGCUGAAGAAAAAAGUAUUGGGAACAAAAAAGACCCUUGAAAUGUCUAGAAAGAAAAAUUGAGAUCAAGGACUUUUUCAAGAGAGAUUAGACUUGGACAGGAAGAAAGACAAAACAAUUGAAGAGCUCAGGCAAUCUUUAGCAAAUGUUGAAAGGAUGAAAGAGAAGGCAAAUGUUGAAACGAUGAAAGAGAAGGCAGUUGUGAAAACAGAAAACUUGAAAACUACAUUAGACUCUGCAGAGCAAAAGGCAAGAUCAGACAAAGAGAAGACCCAGCAGAUGUUAGAUGCUGUCACUUCUGAGCCCCCAACAGCAAAGAGCGCACC